rnacentral:rRNA from 1 species
UAUGGAGGAUCCGAGCGUUAUCCGGAUUUAUUGGGUUUAAAGGGUGCGUAGGCGGCCUGUUAAGUCAGGGGUGAAAGACGGUAGCUCAACUAUCGCAGUGCCCUUGAUACUGAUGGGCUUGAAUGUACUAGAGGUAGGCGGAAUGUGACAAGUAGCGGUGGAAUGCAUAGAUAUGUCACAGAACACCAAUUGCGAAGGCAGCUUACUAUGGUAUGAUUGACGCUGAGGCACGAAAGCGUGGGGAUCAAACAGG